rnacentral:piRNA from 1 species
UCAAUUGUAUUUCGUUGCGUGGUUCGCCUA